rnacentral:rRNA from 1 species
CGGACUGUGGGCUGCAACCCGCCCACACGAAGUCGGAGUUGCUAGUAAUCCCGAAUCAGCAUGUCGGGGUGAAUGCGUUCCCGGGUCUUGUACACACCGCCCGUCACGCCAUGGGAGUUAGGAGUACCCGAAGCCAGUGACCUAACCGCAAGGGAGGAGCUGUCGAAGGUAAGACUGAUGACUGGGGUGAAGUCGUAACAAGGUAAC